rnacentral:rRNA from 1 species
ACGAACGCUUGCGGCGUGCCCUAAAAAAAUGCAAGUUCGAGCGGGGCUUAGGGCUUCGGCUCUAAGUCUAGCGGCGAAACGGUCGCGUAACACGUAAGCAAACCUGCCCUCAAGACCGGGGACAAACGUUCCGAAAGGAGCGCUAAUACCGGAUGCGCCUGUCUUCUCGCAUGGGAAGACAAGUAAAGCAGGCAAACUGGCUUGGGGAUGGGCUUGCGGCCUAUCAGGUCGUUGGUGGGGGUAACGGGCCUACCAAGCCUUCGACGGGUAGCUGGUCUGAGGAGGAUGGUCAGCCGGACUGGGACUGAGACACGGCCCCAGACUCCUACGGGGGGCAGCAAUUAGGAAUCUUGCGCAAUGGGCGAAAGCCUGACGCAGCGACGCCCGCGUGGAGGAGGAAGGCCUUCGGGUUGUAAACUCCUUUUGCCGGGAAGAAAAAGAUGACGGUACCCGGCGAAUAAGCCCCGGCUAACUCCGUGCCAAGCAGCCGCGGUAAUACGGAGGGGGCGAGCGUUGUCCGAAUUUACUGGGCGUAAAGGCGCGCGUAGGCGGGGGCUUAAGUCGGUUGUGAAAUCCUGAGGCUCAACCUCAGAACCGCGACCGAUACUGGGCCUCUUGAGUGCGGGAGGGGGGAAGGCGGAAUUGCUGGUGUAGCGGUGAAAUGCGUAGAUAUCAGCAGGAACGCCGGUGGCGAAGGCGGCUUCCUGGACCGUAACUGACGUUGAGGCGCGAAAAGCCAGGGGAGCGAACGGGAUUAGAUACCCCGGUAGUCCUGGCCGUAAACGAUGGAUACUAGGUGUUGGGGGUAUCGACCCCCCCGGCGCCGCAGCUAACGCAGUAAGUAUCCCGCCUGGGGAGUACGGGCCGCAAGGUUGAAACUCAAAGGAAUUGGACGGGGGCCCCGCACAAGCGGUGGAGCAUGUUGUUUAAUACGUCACUAACCGUAGAAACCUUACCAGGGCCUUGACAUCCGGCGCACCGGCAUGAAAGUGUCGUUCCCCGCAAGGGGACGCCGAGACAGGUGUUGCAUGGCUGUCGUCAGCUCGUGUCGUGAGAUGUUGGGUUAAGUCCCGCAACGAGCGCAAACCCUCACGCGAUGUUGCCAGCGGGUAAAGCCGGGAACUCUUCGCGAACUGCCCGUGGCAAGCGGGAGGAAGGUGGGGAUGACGUCAAGUCAGCAUGGCCCUUACGGCCCUGGGCUACAAACAUGCUACAAUGGGCGGCAGACAGACGGACCCGAGGUCGCGAGACGGAGGAAAUCCGACAAAUCCGCCCCCAGUUUCGGAUUGCAGGCUGCAACUCGCCUGCAUGAAGUCGGAAUCGCUAGUAACCGCAGAUCAGCCAAGCUGCGGUGAAUACGUUCCCGGGCCUUGUACACACCGCCCGUCACAUCACGAAAGCCGGUUGUACUAGAAGUCGCCAUAUACCAACCCGCAAGGGAGGGAGGCGCCUAAGGUAUGGUCGGUGAUUGGGUGA